rnacentral:lncRNA from 1 species
CACGGACGUCGGAAGGGAGGUGCGCAGGGUUUUGAAGGGCAGGAGUCCAGGACCCAGACGUGGACAGGGCCUCAGGCCCCCGCAGGCUCCUCAGAGCCCUCUGUGCGACGGAAGCCCCCUCCCUGUGGACGCCAGGCCUGCCUGGGCCGGCCAGCCUCGCCCCGAGGGGAUCGUGCCUGAGACGUGCAGAGACAACUCGUCCCAUCUUGGCCUGGAACGUGCCGCGUUUGCUCCAGGAGGCGUUGCAGUCACUGCCGGGUCCUCAGCGCUGUGUGGACCUGUCUUCUCGGGCCCGGCCGCCAGCCAGAGCUGUGGCCGGUCCAGUUUUUCAGGAACCGCCUGCAGGGUUUGCUGAGCCAGGUCGAGGAACGCAGACGCCCAGCAGCUCCGCCGCGGUGCCGCUUCCUGCUCAGGACUCAG